UCCCCACCUCCGCCUGGGGCGGGCUGGUCCCUGCCCCGGGCGGCCCCUGGAAGGCGGGGUGGAGGGGGAGGAGGGAGGAGGGAUGGGCUCAACAACUAGGAGGCAGAGAGGCAGAGGCGGCUCCAGCGGUGCGCGCCCCCUCCGCGCGCCCCGCCAGCUGCGGCACCCGGGUUUCCCCGCCCCGCCGGGAUCGGCCCCGGCUGGGAGUGAGCUUUAAUAGGAGUGUGUGCGCGCGCCGAGCAGGUUGGUAACCGGACGCUCUCGCGAUACUUCUCUCUCUGGCCACCACCACCACCACCAGCCCCCGCAGCCCGGGGGCCGACUGUCCAGCGGAGCCCAAGUGCCCCCUCCCUCAACUCGCCCGGAUUCUAUAGAAUCAGCCCGAGGCGAGAUCGCGAGCCCACUCCUAGCUCAGACUCGCGCUCCUCUCCAGCCCAGAAGCAGGGCGCAAGCUAUAACAGUCUUACGAGCGAGGAACUUUAGAACUGGACGUGGGAGGACGUGCUACCUGAUGUUCUCGGAAUUCGACUUCACACUUGGCUCUGAAGUCUUGGGACCUAGCUAUGAACCAUGGAACAUUGCUGUCCAAGACAGACCAAAGUUACCAUUAACCUAGAGGGCAUUGGAAGGGUGCAUGGUGAACAAGAACUGACUUCAAUAUGUUACAAAGAAAGAAUUCAAAGAGAAAAAUAAUAUGAAUAGUGCCAUCAAAGACAUAUAUGAAUGGAAAAUGAAGAUAGGCUGACCAUAUCUGCAAUUAGCUGAUUGAUGGGCACUGUGCUCCUUGUAAAGUAUACUCUUGAUGUCAAGGCAAAGUAAGGAAGACCUCUGGGAUAUUGGGUAGACUCAAUGCCAAAUGGAUAAGAGGACCUAGACAAGAUCCAUAAAGAACUGGCAGGAAUUCAUGGAUUAUGAUCUGCAUAUCCCAGGGAAUUACCCAUAUCAUUGUAUACCCCAGGAGGACUUUGCUUUGUUGUGGUUGUUAUUGUUGUUUUAAAUUAGCCUCCCCCCCCCCCAAUUAAUGAAAAUCUAUGUUCUCCCCCUUCCACCUCUUCUUACCCCAGUUGCCCCCUGUAGGGGGGGAAAAAAGAAAGAAAAACAAAAUCCUUGUUACAAACUUAUAUGUGUAAGUAAAACAUCCCUGAAUUGGCGAUGUCCAGAAAAAUAGUUAUCUCCUUUGUUUCUGCUACUUUUUUGAACCAAGUGUCUUAGAUGAGAUCACAGCUCUGUUUGAGGAUUUGGGUGAGUGAAUGAAUAAAACUUGCAGUGUAUCAAGCA
rnacentral:lncRNA from 1 species